UACGGCGGCCAUAGCGAAGGGGAAACGCCCGGUCCCAUUCCGAACCCGGAAGCUAAGCCCUUCAGCGCCGAUGGUACUGCACCCGCCAGGAUGUGGGAGAGUAGGACGCCGCCGAAC
rnacentral:rRNA from 2 species